AUGGAAGCAGAGUUCUCUGAGUUUUCGAUCUUCGAUUUUCAUCAAAUAUUAGAGGCCACAAGUAACUUUUCUGAAGAAAAUAAACUUGGCAAAGGUGGAUUUGGCCCUGUUUAUAAGGGCCACUUUCCCGAUGGAACUGAAAUUGCAGUAAAGAGACUUGAUUCACAUUCCGGACAAGGUUUGAUGGAGUUCAAAAAUGAAGUUGAGCUCAUAGCCAAACUUCAACACAUGAAUUUGGUUAGGCUCGAUGCUGCUCUCAAGCAGAGGAGAAAAUAUUGGUCUAUGAAUACUUGCCAAACAAAAGCUUGGACUUCUUCAUCUUUGGUACAUAUUAAUUUGCACUUCUAG
rnacentral:rRNA from 1 species